CGGCCAGUAAAGGAAAUGGCUAAACUUACUUCCCUCUCAAGGAAGAACUUGGCGGUUCAAAUCCGCCCUGGUCGACCA
rnacentral:tRNA from 1 species